GAGUUUGAUCGUGGCUCAGGAUGAACGCUGGCUGUGUGCCUAAUACAUGCAUGUCGAACGAAGCACUUGUGCUUAGUGGCAAAUGGGUGAGUAACACGUACUUAAUCUACCUUUGAGAUUGGAAUAACAUUUGGAAACAACUGCUAAUACCAAAUAUGUAAUCUAUUUCGCAUGAAUUGAUUAAUAAAAAGAAGUCGUUUGCUUCGCUUAAAGAUGAGAGUGCGUUACAUUAGAUAGUUGGUAAGGUAAUGGCUUACCAAGUCAAUGAUGUAUAGCGGGUCGAGAGGCUGAACCGCCACACUGGGACUGAGAUACGGCCCAGACUCCUACGGGAGGCAGCAGUAGGGAAUAUUCCACAAUGAACGAAAGUUUGAUGGAGCGACACAGUGUGCAGGAUGACGGUCUUAGGAUUGUAACUG
rnacentral:rRNA from 1 species